CUACGGGUCGCUCCAGCGAGGAAUAUUGCACAAUGGGGGGAACCCUGAUGCAGCAACGCCGCGUGGAGGAUGACGCAUUUCGGUGUGUAAACUCCUUUUAUAUGUCAAGAAAAUGACGGUAGCAUAUGAAUAAGCACCGGCUAACUCCGUGCCAGCAGCCGCGGUAAUACGGAGGGUGCAAGCGUUACUCGGAAUCACUGGGCGUAAAGGACGCGUAGGCGGGUUGGAAAGUCAGGUGUGAAAUCCUACAGCUUAACUGUAGAACUGCACUUGAAACUUCUAAUCUAGAGUAUGUGAGGGGGAGAUGGAAUUAGUGGUGUAGGGGUAAAAUCCGUAGAUAUCACUAGGAAUACCUAAAGCGAAGGCGAUCUCCUGGAACAUUACUGACGCUAAGGCGUGAAAGCGUGGGGAGCAAACAGGAUUAGAUACCCCCGUAGUC
rnacentral:rRNA from 1 species